UAAAGUGUACUAAACAUCAAAAAGUCGCUGAACAAAUGUUGGUCAAUUAGAAGACCUAGAGAAUUAGAUAACCUAGAUAACACUAGAAAGUCACCCCGCGACCCCCCAGAAAAAAAAGUACCUAUGACGCUCACCGAUCUGCUACGUUGAACGGCGAUGGAUAACCUUUGCGUCAGGAAGGUCCCUGAGCGAGGAUCCAAACCUCUCCCUUGUAUACUUCUCCCCACUUCCUCUAAAAAGGCCUUGGCCUCGGCACACCAGCACCCGAACCGCUGCCAACUUGGCUAUUGCCCCUGCUGCUCACCAUACGGUCAAUAUGCGACACCGCGAGCUGACGCACGUUGCGUCCCAUGCUAAACUAACUCUUUAAUUGUUAAGAAGUCUUCUUCUUGUUCACUAGUUAAUCAUUGUUGAAAGUUUUUGUUUCUAGAGUGUCCAUAUCAUCCCCGAGCAUACUGAAGUGAACUACGUGAACGAGAAGUACGUAUACAACGUGUCCGCGCGCGUGGUGCGGUACAGUAGGAAGAGUACCUACUACUACAACCUUGUAGCUGGAAUCAAGCAUACUUGGGGAAAUAAUGUCACGCUUAAUUUGGUAUUCUUCGAAGGCCAAAACAACCAAUACAAUCGCAGCCCAGUGGAGAUAAAACUGAAGCUGUGCGACCUGUUCCAGCGAGACCAGUACUUCGGGAAGAUGUUUAGUGUAGUUUUAAACAAAUAUGGAAUGUCCUGCCCCUUUGCGCCGGGGCUGUACCGCUUCAUGAACACCACGUUGCCCUCCGACAGCUUUCCCAACGUCCUGCCGUUCCGCAGGGGAAAGGCGGAGAUGAUCUACAACCAGCUGCCCACGCAAGAUGUUAUUGUUAAGGUUUCUACCACAUUUACCGUCAAGAAGUAGGCUUAGAGGAAACUUAAAUACCGUAACGGCCCAAUUAAUAGCUCGUCUCCUAACAUUAUUAUCGACUUUUGAAGCGAUUGUUCUCAAAAGUACCUAUUUACUUAAUUAAAUCACUGUUUUAGAAGAACUUCAAGUUAUUAUUAAAGACAUAAACAAAUGUAUAACACGUUGAUGUACGGCCCGAUUCGAAGAAUGAUUAAGACACGUUUAAGAUCUUUAAAAGAUCGAUAACUAAACGUCAUGUCAACAUUGACGUUUAUUUAGAUUCCGCUGAUUAGAUCUACGAUAUCUCUAACGUCAAAGUGACACAUUGGUUGCCCGGAUCGAGCUGCUUCUGUCAAUUAUACGACAUACAAACGAUAUCUAAAUGAGAACUUAUCUAAACCAGAACGUAUCGUUAUCGUAUCUCAUUCUUUGAAUCGGGCCUAUUGACCACAAUAAACCAACAAUGGAAUAGAAAACCUCCUGCUUUUGGAAUUUUUAAGUCAGUUGAAUAAACUCCCAACAUUGUUUGUACAAAUUUAAACAGAGUUCGGAUUUAUGUGCAAUCAGUUUGUAGCUCGUUAAGCAUUUUCUUGCUUCUCUUCAGAUUAAAACUAUGCGGGCUC